rnacentral:rRNA from 1 species
UACGUAGGCAGCAAGCGUUGUUCGGAGUUACUGGGCGUAAAGGGUGUGUAGGCGGUUGCUUAAGUUUGGUGUGAAAUCUCCCGGCUCAACUGGGAGGGUGCGCCGAAUACUGAGUGACUCGAGUGCGGGAGAGGAAAGUGGAAUUCCUGGUGUAGCGGUGAAAUGCGUAGAUAUCGUAAGGAAGACCAGUGGCGAAGGCGGGUCUCUGGACAGUUCCUGACGCUGAGGCAGCGAAAGGCCAGGGGAGCGAAACGGG